GCGGGCCAAUGACGGAAGGGCGGCCGCACCAUCAGUGUGGGCUGUGCCGUGGCUGGAAGUUACUGUGCGGCGGCGGCUAAGGCGGCUGCGGUGGCGGUGGCGGCGGCUGAGGCGGUGGCUGAGGCGGCGACGGAGAAAACAAAAGAUGGCAGAUUUUUUGAAAGGACUGCCUGUCUACAACAAAAGCAAUUUUAGUCGAUUUCAUGCCGACUCUGUAUGCAAAGCCUCGAACCGACGUCCCUCAGUCUACUUGCCCACUCGGGAGUACCCAUCCGAACAGAUCAUUGUGACAGAAAAAACAAAUAUUCUUUUGCGCUACCUACAUCAGCAAUGGGACAAAAAGAAUGCCGCCAAGAAGAGAGACCAGGAGCAAGUGGACCUCGAAGGCGAGAGCUCGGCACCCCCCCGCAAGGUCGCCCGGACCGACAGCCCAGACAUGCACGAGGACACUUAAGACUCCCGCUCCCCCACAGGCGCCUCCUGUCUUGUCUGCUCCUCGCCCGCCCGCCUUGUCCCCAGAGGACGGAGCCACUGAGAGUCAUCCCAUCAUCACCAAGAGGAGCCAAGGGGGGCCCCCCAGGCACUGGGGCCCCAGGACCAGCUGGAUUCUCUCGUGGGCCUGCUGUGGCCGUCUCGCUCAGAGCCAAGACCUGCCUGGACCCGCCCCUCUGCCUCACCUGUCAAGGUGUCCCUGAGGACCAAGGCACCCCCAGAGAGAUGGUCCAUGCUGCCGAGGAUGGAGUUGUGGUGGACCCCACGCUCAGGACCCUGGCGAGCAGAGUGGCAUGCCCACCAGCCACUGUGGACACCACACAGGUGGCCCGGCCUCAUGCACCCCUGGCUCAGAGAGGAGGCACCCGGAGCGCCGCGGAAUGCCCACCGUUGGUCCACGGGUUCUACAGCCACUCAUGGGCCGCCAGCUGGGCUGGGUUUGCGGCUGAGCCCAGACACAUAGGGGUCAUUUGGGCUCUGGGCAGAAGGUUCAAGGCCUGAGUGCAAGCCAGAGUUUUGGAGCUGAGUGCUGGGGUGUUGGGGGUGGUGAGGGGUUGGGCCAUGGGGCAGGCCCCGCCUCAGCUGCCCAGCACCUCCCAGGUGGAAGGUUCCAUGGUCGGCCACCCAGCCAUGCUGGGGGUGCUCAGCUCUGGGCAUGUCUACACCAUUCAUUUCUUAUGGUCCCAAGGCAGGUCCUCAGGAAAGGCAAGCUUGACCGUGGUUGUGCCUGGGAGGGCUAAGUCCCUAGAGGCUCGCAGACUGGCUUGGAAUCCCCCAGUCACAGGGCUUGGCCUGACCCUGGGCAGGCAUGUGGCAUCACCAUUUGUUGGUGGCUGAGUUGAGGGCAGGACUUCAGCUUCAAAGGCCAUGGGGCUGAGUGGGAGCCAGCUGUAGCCUGUCCUUCCUGGAGACUCACUCACACCUCCCUGGCUCCAGUUCCCCCUUUGAGGGGCUGGGUUCUGUCUCUUGCCAGUGCCAUCCACAAUGUAGGCAGGGGUCCCACAGCCUCCCUGUGGCCUCCUAGCACAGGGCCGUCAAACGGCCUCCACCCACCCCUCUGUCUCUGGGGCCCCCCUUACUCUGCUCCCCCAGUCACCAAACUGCCUUCCCACACCUCUGUGCCUUUGCACAGGCUGCUGUCCUGCCUCCAGUGAACCCUGACUUCUUUCACAGCACCCCCUCAAAGUGCCCCUUCCUCACACUGGCCCCCCCCAGGCUCCCCGCCCUGGGGUGGGGCCCAUCAGGCUCUAGCCUUUGGAUGUGGAUAUGCCUAAGAGCGGAAAAGGCCACAUCUAUCCCUGAUCACACAGUGAAGAGUCCCAGUGACUUGGGUCUGACAGCUGUCCCACAGUGGGGCAUCCAGCAGUUCCCCAGUGCCACCACCAAACAUGACAUCCCCUCAACACCAUGACUCAGGCACCAGGUGCCUUCUGAUUUCCACACCCCAGCUUUUCCAUACCACCCCUGACUCUUAAGAUGGCGACCUGGGAAGUAGAUGUGCCAGAAAGUGCAGCCCUGCAGGACUGAGGCCCAAACUGCUGAGUCCUGUCAACACUUUAAGAUUUCUUCCUUUCUCUCGGAGGUUGAAGACAGGGCCUGAGGCUCUAUAGCUCCUCCCAGGGGCCCCUGGGCCUGGAAUUGGCCCUCAAAUCUGGGCCGUUUCAGAGGCAGCACAGUCUGGAGUUUUCCAUCCAUGGCCUGGAGACCUAGUUCUUAGGAGGAGCUCCUCAAGGGUCACAGGACAGACAGGAGGGGAGCCCACCCUGGGCCUGCCAGGCCCCCAGAGAGCUGGCACCAACCUCAAGUCAUUAGGCCCUUGAGUCCCCUUUCCACUGCUACAUCCUUGGGCACUGUCGAAAUAUACUUUUUAUUGCAUUUCUGCCGUUUUACAAAAAUAUGACAAAAUAAAUUAAAAACAAAUAAAUAAUCGCCUAUUCUGUG